UUAAUGUUUGAUUUUUAAAUGCUUUAUUAUACUAUAUUACAUUAUAUUAUAUUACUUUAUAUCCAUAUAUACUUUUUUGUUUUUGUUUUAAAAUUUGUUAUUCCUUUUAUUAUUUUGAUCACUUUGAGUUUAUUUAAAAACAAAACUUUUUUUAUAACAACAUUGCAAAUGUAAUCCUGUAUUUUGCUGCAGCUGACCUUUUUAAAAUUUAAGGUUUUAACAUCUUCGUUUUUCUUUUUUUUCUUUUUUUCUUUUUUACGAGGUAUGAUAUACAGUUAGUUGGUCAUGUUCACAACCAAACUGCCACUACUUACCAAAUAAAAAAUAACAGUACUUUUUGAUAGACAGAUAGAUGGAUAGAUGGAUAGAUAGAUAGACAUUAAAUAUUAAUCUGAGUUGAUAUCAUUUUAUUAUGUAAGCUAGAAGAGCAUGUAGUGAUUCGAUUUAGAAUUGGUGCAGUGCAGUUUAGUGAUAAUUAUACAAAUAAAUGAUAAUUUGACUGCCAGUUCAAAUGUAUUUGGCUGAAUGAAUUGUUCGGAUUCUCUUUUGAAAUGUUUUGCUCAAUGCCACACAGUUUCCAACAAAAUGUUGGAAUAUUUCCGAAUCUAUUAUCACGAUUAACCUUAUUAUUUCAGUAUGACAGGAAGUCCCAUAUGUUUCCAUGCAUGACAGGAUGGAUGACCUAACAGGCCUUUUUCUCUCUCUUCCAAAUACUGGGACUAUUUGAGGUCUUUGCCAACAGCCUUUUCAUAAAAACAGGAAUUGUGUCAUUUUUUAAAGGUUAGAAAUGGGUCAUUGUUUUGUUGGAUUGGUCCUCAGAUGUGACGUCCAAGGUUUAAGAACCCCAUGGCAGGUCACUUAAUAGUAGCGUAUGCGUUCACAGACUUCCACAUUACCAGUUACAGUGAGCGUCAAGUCAAGCAGUCAGUGGUGGCUCUGUUGUUGUUCUGGGAGCAGUAUUUUCUGUAAUGCUUAGCUCACAAUGGGUUACACGAAAAUAACAGCGCCUUCAGCUAUGAGGACGUGGUCUGUCUAACCGUAACAAGGAACCGUGUUAGAUGCCAGCCUGUUGUUGACCGAGAACAUCUCAAUAAAAUCAUUUGCAGAUGUUUUUUGGGCUCCCUGUGAAUCUUGGAUCUCUUUGUCUCUUUGAGUUUUUCCAAUGCUUGGCAAAAUAAGUAAAGUUUUAUUAGCUCGUUAAAAUUACAUAUUUUUCCAUAAUUUUCCUCUUCCUCUUUUUUUGU